UGGGGAAUAUUGCACAAUGGGGGAAACCCUGAUGCAGCAACGCCGCGUGAGUGAUGACGGCCUUCGGGUUGUAAAGCUCUGUCUUCAGGGACGAUAAUGACGGUACCUGAGGAGGAAGCCACGGCUAACUACGUGCCAGCAGCCGCGGUAAUACGUAGGUGGCAAGCGUUGUCCGGAUUUACUGGGCGUAAAGGGAGCGUAGGCGGACUUUUAAGUGAGAUGUGAAAUACCCGGGCUCAACCUGGGUGCUGCAUUUCAAACUGGAAGUCUAGAGUGCAGGAGAGGAGAGUGGAAUUCCGAGUGUAGCGGUGAAAUGCGUAGAGAUUAGGAAGAACACCAGUGGCGAAGGCGACUCUCUGGACUGUAACUGACGCUGAGGCUCGAAAGCGUGGGGAGCAAACA
rnacentral:rRNA from 1 species